rnacentral:rRNA from 1 species
UACGUAGGGGGCUAGCGUUGUCCGGAUUUAUUGGGCGUAAAGAGCGUGUAGGCGGCCAGGUAGGUCUGCUGUGAAAACUCGAGGCUCAACCUCGAGACGUCGGCGGAAACCAUCUGGCUAGAGUCCGGAAGAGGAGAGUGGAAUUCCUGGUGUAGCGGUGAAAUGCGUAGAGAUCGGGAGGAACACCAGAGGCGAAGGCGGCGACCUGGACAAGUACUGACACUCAACUGCGAAAGCGUGGGGAGCAAACAGG